ensembl:lncRNA LINC02984 long intergenic non-protein coding RNA 2984
ACUCUAUUGGAGUGCAUGUUACAGAACCUUAAGAAAGGUUUUGGAGGGGAUUAUAGAGUUAAGUUAACCCCCCAGAGGUUGAGAACUCUCUGUGAAUUAAAAUUGCCUUCUUUUGGUGUUAGAUGGCUGACUGAAGGAACUUUAAACAAGGAACAAUUGGCCAUGUAUUUAAGGUGGUGACAAGGGUUGGAGGACAGCCAGUGUACCCAGAUCAAAUUCCUUUAUAUUGACUCAUGGCUAAAUAUAAUAUAGACAAAACCAGCAUAGAUCCAGCCCUGUUUAAUGGCUUAUUGCAAAAAAGCCAAAAGUGAAAGUAAGAGCAGCUUUGCCAGCAGACACAGAGUUAAAAGGGGAGUCCCAGAGACAGCAAGAGAAGCCAGUUGUACAGGAACUGCCAAAGGCAACAGAAAUUCUUUCUCCCUAUGUCCCAGCCUACCCCCACUUUACCGAGGCCAACAGCCGCCUCAGAAACCAGAUUCAGGAGCUAACAUGCCCCAGGUCUCACGAGGAUCAGAGACUCCAGAGGCCAGGGAAGGAGAUCAAGGUAGUCAAGCGGGGGUCGUCUCAGAUCUGGUUGUGCUCGAGCUAUGCAAAUGCCUCUCACGGAGAUGCGAGGACCUAUCUAUUAUGAUGACCAGGGCCACAUCCGGAGGGGGCAACAGACUUUCAUCUAUCAGCCCUUUUCAACCACUGAUCUACUAAACUGGAAACACUCUGAACCCUGCCAUCUUGCUCCUGGUAUCAGAGAGCCCUGUCGUGCAUAACUGUGUAGAAGUGUUGGACUCGGUUUACUCCAGCAGACCUGAUCUCCGGGACCAGCCUUGGGCAUCAGUAGACUGGAAGCUAUAUGUGGACAGGAGCAGCUUCAUCAACCCACAAGGAGAGAGAUGUGCGGGAUAUGUGGUGGAACCCUGGACACUGUCGUUGAAGCCAGAUCGUUGCUCCAAGGCACUUCAGCCCAGAAAGAUGAGCUCAUUGCUUUAAUUUGGGCCUUAGAACUCAGUUAAGGCCUUCUACGGUCCCAGGCUUUCUGCUGCAUACACUGAAGGGCCACGAAGUACAGUCAUCUGGACUUGGCACCUGGAAUACAAGGAUGGAAAGCAUCAUUUCUGCCAGCUUCUUAUGGUCCUGAGGCGAGACAGUCAUGAGAGAGGAAAACUGCAAUGACUUCUGACCACUGCCAGCCUCGCUUCCUGCAUUUUCUUCUUCGGCUUACUCUUGCCAAGUUGGAGUUGCCUAACUUCCAAGAGGGUAUUUGCUCUUUUUUUUUUCUCACUCCACAAACUCUUCCCAGGUAGUUCAGUCCACUCCCAUCUACCAGUCACUAUACGCCGAUGAAUGCCAAUAUUAUUAUUUCCAGCUUAGACAUUGUUCUUGGAUUGCAGAUGUGAGGUUUGACUUGUUUACUAGACAUUGCUGGCUGAGGAUCCCUAGCAUAACAUGGCCCAAAUUCAAUUUAUUUCCAAAGCUGUCUCAUCUCCUUUGUUCUCUGUAAUGAUGUUGCUAUCCAUUCGAUCAACAUACUCAGAAAUAUCACCCCCUCCUUCCUUCUUCCAAGAUAAGUGAGUUGCUCACGACAUGAUCAUGUUUUGGCAGUGUACUCUGUCCAUUCCCAUCACUUAGUAAGAAUCAUCUAGGUUAUGCUGAAGUAUGAAGUUAAUCUCCAAAUUUCUCUGGCUCAGUACAGAAAAAGUCCAUUUCUCCCUUCUGCAAUGCACCCAAUGCAGGUCUGCAGGGUCUCUGCUGUGCGUUGUCCCUCAGGGACUCAGGCUGAAGAGGCCCCCUUGUCUUAUCUGGCCACCUCCUCUGCACAUGGCUCAGGAUUUUCCAGGCAAGGGGUUGAGCAGAGGCUUUUCAGUGCUGGGCCUGGAUGUGACAUAAGAUGCUUCUGCUCACAGCCUUGUGGUCAGAACAAGUCACAUCAUCCCUCCUACUUGCAGGGGUGCUGGGCAGCGUAGUCAUCCACAGAUCAGGAGAGGGAGCAGAGGCAGGUGUUCCCGGGCUGCAGCGAUCUCCACUGCACUGCUGUGGGCUGAACUGUGCCCUCCACCCCACCAAGCUUAUAUGCUGCCAGCCUCACCCUCCACACCUUAGAAUGUGGCUGUAUCUCGACAUAGGGUCCUUACAGAGGUAGUUAAGUUAAAGCAGGGUCAUUAGGGUGGGCCCUAAGGUACUCUGACUGGUGUUUUUAUGAGAAGAGGAGAUUAGGACUUACAGGGAGAGACACUAGGUAUGUGAGCACACAGAGAAAAGACCAUGUGAAGACGAGAAGAAGGCAACUGUCUCCAAUCCAGACGGAGAUGCCAGGCACAGCCCUUCUGUCACAACCCUCAGAAGGAACCAACCCUGCCGACACCUUGGCCUUGUACUUCUGGCCUCCAGAACCGCAGGAAAGUACAUUUCUGUUGCUUAGGCCGCUCAGCCUGUGGCACUUUGUUACAGCUUCUCACCCAGUUCAGGCCCUUUUAAUUGAUUGCUGGGCCUUUGCAGUUGUUUUUGCUUCUAAUAUAUUCAUCUCUCAAUUUAUUUCUGGAGGCUGCCACCCGAGGGGCAGAACUUCAAUUGUGUCCCUAAUGGGAAACCUUGCUGGGAUCAUGUGGUCUACAGCACAAGGUUGCUAAAGCAUCUUCUGCCAGAAUUCUGUGAGUAUCUGGUUAGGUGGGUCUGGAAUAUACUGAGUUUAAAAAAGUUAAAUAGGUUUCUUUACUGCAAGAUGUUUCAGAGACUUUAAUAUGCUACUCUGCUGUAUGAAUCUCCAGGCAGGAAAUCUUAUAAAAUGUGUUUCUGAAAUGAAUUUGCACAUAA